rnacentral:lncRNA from 1 species
CUUAUGAGGAGUCGCGCUCCACCCAAAAUCGUUAUCAGUUGGGGAGCCACGCUUUUCCUGCUGUAUGACAUUGGCUUAAUCGAGACACUUCUCAUACUUCUAGCUUGUGAUAGCUGCGCUUUACCAGCUAUAUGACAUUACCUCUGCUGACACUUAUCACACAUUUUUUGCUAAUGAUUGGCUCUGAUUUCAACGGUAAUACCCCACUUUCCAACGAGUCAUCCAUCCUGAAACUAUUCUAAUUGUAACACGCUUAACUGUUAAUUAUGAAAAGAAAGAGAGAAAAUAGUAAAAUAUUAAUGCUACUAUACUCUUAUGAGAGAGAGAGAGAGAGAGAGAGAGAAAGAGAGAGGGAGAAAGAGAGAGUUCAGCUACUAUACUCUUAUGAGUAUAGGUUCUUUUCUUUUCAUAAGUUUUCGACCAUUAGAUCUAUACUUUUGACCAUUUUCAUUCGUUAGAUUAUAUUAUUCAACCAACUACCAAUUCAAUCCUAGGAGACCACUAUCAUUCUAAUCGGAGACAACUAAAAUCGAACGAAUAUAAAAUCAUUAUAAAGUCCAUCAAGUGGAUAUAAAAUGAACGGUCAAAAUUGAACGACGUCCUAAAAAUGGAUGAUCGGAUCCUUUAAUAUAAGAUCGGGGUUAUUAAUCUUUAUCUAGGUAGUGAAUAGAAUUUUCUAUCAAAAAUUCAAGUUAUUUCGAUUCUUUUACACCGUUAAACUAGCAAGUAUCACGUAUCGGCCGUUAAAAAUUGUCAAUUUUGUGAGCUUUUGAUCGUAAGAUAAAUGAUAUUGAAAAAUUAUAAAAUUUGAUUUCUAGAAGUUUUAAAUGCUCUAAAUAAUGUUUAAUAGUCUGGAUUGUCGAUUCGGAAGCUCUAUCAUCGAAAACAACUUAUGAGUACGAAUGCGAUCGUACUCAUAAAAGUACAGUAGCCGGACUCUAUAUAUAUAUAUAUAUAUAUAUAUAUAUAUAUAUAUAGAGUUGAGCUAGAAUACUCUU